rnacentral:rRNA from 1 species
GAUUGCUUCAGAGGGACCAACGCUUGUCGGCCGCCGGGGGGGCGCCUUUGCCCCCCGGGCCCGUGCCCGCCGGAGACCCCAACACGAACACUGUCUGAAAGCGUGCAGUCUGAGUUGAUUGAAUGCAAUCAGUUAAAACUUUCAACAAUGGAUCUCUUGGUUCCGGCAUCGAUGAAGAACGCAGCGAAAUGCGAUAACUAAUGUGAAUUGCAAAAUUCAGUGAAUCAUCGAGUCUUUGAACGCACAUUGCGCCCCCUGGUAUUCCGGGGGGCAUGCCUGUCCGAGCGUCAUUGCUGCCCUCAAGCCCGGCUUGUGUGUUGGGUCGCCGUCCCCCUCUCCGGGGGGACGGGCCCGAAAGGCAGCGGCGGCACCGCGUCCGAUCCUCGAGCGUAUGGGGCUUUGUCACAUGCUCUGUAGGAUUGGCCGGCGCCUGCCGACGUUUUCCAACCAUUUUUUCCAGGUUGACCUCGGAUCAGGUAGGGAUACCCGCUGAACUUAAGCAUAUCAAUAAACGGAGGAAGAAAUUGCUGGCCUUUUCAUUGGAUGUUUU